rnacentral:rRNA from 1 species
AGUGAACGCUGGCGGUAGGCCUAACACAUGCAAGUCGAACGGCAGCACAGUAAGAGCUUGCUCUUACGGGUGGCGAGUGGCGGACGGGUGAGGAAUACAUCGGAAUCUACUUUUUCGUGGGGGAUAACGUAGGGAAACUUACGCUAAUACCGCAUACGACCUACGGGUGAAAGCAGGGGAUCUUCGGACCUUGCGCGAUUGAAUGAGCCGAUGUCGGAUUAGCUAGUUGGCGGGGUAAAGGCCCACCAAGGCGACGAUCCGUAGCUGGUCUGAGAGGAUGAUCAGCGACACUGGAACUGAGACAGCGUCCAGACUCCUAAGGGAGGCAGCAGUGGGGAAUAUUGGACAAUGGGCGCAAGCCUGAUCCAGCCAUACCGCGUGGGUGAAGAAGGCCUUCGGGUUGUAAAGCCCUUUUGUUGGGAAAGAAAAGCAGCAGGUUAAUACCCCGCUGUUCUGACGGUACCCAAAGAAUAAGCACCGGCUAACUUCGUG